UCUCUUUCUUGGGAAGCUAAAUUGUCCAUAACCAACCACCCUUACUAUAUUUUACUAGUACUAUAAAAAUAGAAAGCCUUGGGCUAGCUGUCACAACAACACUUCAAAUCACAGCAAAUUAGCCAAGACUUGAUUACAAUAUGGCAACUGCAGCAGCUGGUAGAGGAGCACAAUCCAUGAACUUUAUGUAUUUCAAGUAAGGUUAUUAAAUUUGAAGUAAAAUUUACUCCAUUGUAUUCUUCUUUCUUUUUUAAUUUUUAAGGUAUGGACACAUUUUGGUAAUUUCUCUGUAUUGUGGAAAGGUUACCAUAGGAGUUUCAAUCAAAAUGCAAUUGUUGGAAAUUAAUGCGUGUUAUAGUUCAGACAAAGUGAGUGGUAUAUACGAGAUUGUUCCAUUUGGUCGUUUCUGUUGAUGGUACUGAUAUAUUAUCUAUUUUUGUCUUCUUGAGCUGAAAGUCUAUCGGAAACAACCUUUCUAUUUUCCGGGUAGGGGUAAGGUCUGCGUACGCACUACUUUCCCCAUACCCUACUUGUAGGAAUUUAUUGGGUUGUUGUUGUUGUUCCAUUUGAUCGUUAUUGUAAAUACACCUGCCUGUUUUAGUCUGUCGUGAUCAUUAGUAACAAUAUUAAGAGGGAAUAUAAGUAAAUCCAAAAAUAUAGCUAUUAUGGGAUGUACUAACUAAGACUACUAGCUAAGAGUUUCUAUCACUAUCUUGCAAUUAACAUCUUCAAGAUAUCCACGAAAGGAUGACAAUUUUCAUCCAUCUAGAAAAGAAAAUGCAAUAAUGAAGAUGAACAUGAAGAAGAAAAAAAACUACAAGCCAUCCUGCCUUUUUCUUGCAUGUUGGUUUUAAAAUCUUACUAAAUCCAUCUAUUUUUAUCACGAGAAGGCACAAAACUAUGAGGGGCAAAAUUCACAAAUAGACACAAUUUAGUAAUUGUAAUUGAAAAAUAAUCAUUGUCCUGGAGUUUUAAAUUUCAUAAGUGAAACUCUACGCCAUUAUUCAAGAGUUUC
rnacentral:lncRNA from 1 species